rnacentral:rRNA from 1 species
CUUAACACAUGCAAGUCGAACGGAAAGGCCUCUUCGGAGGUACUCGAGUGGCGAACGGGUGAGUAACACGUGGGUGAUCUGCCCUGCACUCUGGGAUAAGCCUGGGAAACUGGGUCUAAUACCGGAUAGGACCAUGCUUUAGUGUGUGUGGUGGAAAGUUUUUUCGGUGUAGGAUGAGCCCGCGGCCUAUCAGCUUGUUGGUGGGGUAAUGGCCUACCAAGGCGGCGACGGGUAGCCGGACUGAGAGGUUGGUCGGCCACAUUGGGACUGAGAUACGGCCCAGACUCCUACGGGAGGCAGCAGUGGGGAAUAUUGCACAAUGGGCGCAAGCCUGAUGCAGCGACGCCGCGUGGGGGAUGACGGCCUUCGGGUUGUAAACUCCUUUCGCCAGGGACGAAGCGUUUUGUGACGGUACCUGGAGAAGAAGCACCGGCUAACUACGUGCCAGCAGCCGCGGUAAUACGUAGGGUGCAAGCGUUGUCCGGAAUUACUGGGCGUAAAGAGCUCGUAGGUGGUUUGUCACGUCGUCUGUGAAAUUCCACAGCUUAACUGUGGGCGUGCAGGCGAUACGGGCUGACUUGAGUACUGUAGGGGUAACUGGAAUUCCUGGUGUAGCGGUGAAAUGCGCAGAUAUCAGGAGGAACACCGAUGGCGAAGGCAGGUUACUGGGCAGUUACUGACGCUGAGGAGCGAAAGCAUGGGUAGCAAACAGGAUUAGAUACCCUGGUAGUCCAAUGCGUAAACGGUGGGCGCUAGUGUAGGACUUUUGGGGUUUCUUGUGCGUAGCUACGCAUUAAGCGCCCCGCCUGGGGAGUACGGCCGCAAGGCUAAAACUCAAAGGAAUUG